AAGUCGUAACAAGGUUUCCGUAGGUGAACCUGCGGAAGGAUCAUUAACACGUUAUCCACGUAAUAUCAACACCACACUGAACGAUGCUCCCUGUUAGAAGACUUCAAGGAUAUCGGUGCUUGACUAUUGUGGGCGGAUCGAGCUUCGGCUUGCUUCGCACGUCAUGCUUGCUGGUUAGGUCGACCCCGGGGCCGAGGGCGAAUCCGAGACACUUUCUUUCAGGCUUAUUGAUUCUCUUGUCCGGCGGCGAAAGCCGAUCCCAACCACCUUGGGCGACGAGACGACACCAUACCCCUUUCACCCUAUUUUACUAAUUUGACUGAUUAUACAUUCUUCGGGAGAAAUCCUGUUGAAUCUCUAAGAUUUAUCUUAACUAAGCACAACUCUUAGCAAUGGAUAUCUUGGUUCUC
rnacentral:misc_RNA from 1 species